rnacentral:rRNA from 1 species
UACGUAGGGUGCAAGCGUUAAUCGGAAUUACUGGGCGUAAAGCGUGCGCAGGCGGUUAUGUAAGACAGAUGUGAAAUGCCCGGGCUUAACCUGGGAACUGCAUUUGUGACUGCAUGGCUAGAGUUUGGCAGAGGGGGGUAGAAUUCCACGUGUAGCAGUGAAAUGCGUAGAUAUGUGGAGGAACACCGAUGGCGAAGGCAGCCCCCUGGGAUAACACUGGACGCUCAUGCACGAAAGGCGUGGGGAGCAAACAGG